rnacentral:lncRNA from 1 species
UGAUAAUUGAGACUGAGCUAACAGAUGAGAAUCCUAGUCAUUGGCCAAGCAACUUUGAACCUAAUACAAGUUUCUAUGUAUUCAUUUGGGCCUAACUCGGGCGGGCGACAGGCGUAAAGCUCACACGUGGCGGUGGGUCUCAGGCAGCUUUUGGCAGAAAGAUUUAUCGUAACACCUUACCACACCAGACCAUUCCUCCAAGGCUCCUGAGUGCACAGUCUCCCACCUCUCAGGACAGCUUUUAUCAAGCAGUCCCACUGUCUCCUCUGAGUUAAGGAUGUAACCAACUUUCUGGAGUAGUCACACAGCAUCCUGGGAAGUAUAAUCCCCAGGAAAUAGAUUAGUGCCUAUUUUGAAUAUAUCCUAUAAAUCACUCCAGUUGAUCAAAAUAUUUCUCUAGAAACUUUUGAAGAAAAAAAAUGGAAGUUUGAGCUUAGCGUGGUGGUGCACACCUCUAAUUUGAGCCCUGGGGAGGCUGAAGCAGGAGGAUCGAGAGUUUGAGGCCAGCCUGGACUACCUAGUAAAACUCUGGAUCAAAUAAGCAAGACACCCAAAUUUGCUAUCAUAAAAAUACAAAACAGUGCUUCAAAAAACCCAUGUUAAUACAUGGCAAAACUAAGACACAUUCCAGCUAUUCAUUUAUCUAUGGGAUGUGUGCAUGGUGGAGCCCUCCAGGAAGGAGAUGGGGUCAGUGGCAAUAUUCACACCUCUGUGGAUCAGCAGAUUCUUUCUAUGGCAUCCCAGCAGCCACGGCACUGCCUUUUCAGGACACUGAAGCCAGAAGCCCCCCAUAUUUCCAUGCCUUCCCCCUCUGUCUGUCACCCUACAAAGUCACAGGUUAGCUUAUCCUCUGUCUGUCACCCUACAAGACCAUAAGUUAGCUCAAAGCCUGCAGACAAAUGUUGACCCAAUGCCUCUGAGCUGCUGAUACUGAAGUUCUAAGGACCAAGAAGCAUCCAUAUUAAGUCCACCUGGGCUUGGUGCUGGAGGAGGGGAGGGAACGCAGCCCACCUAAUGACACUGGUGUCCGAUGCUCUGAGGUGCACCUGCUCAGGUUAGCUCCCAGUAACUCCUCUAUUCUUGAUCAGUUCAGAUGCAUAUCCCUAGCUGAGAUACCCCAGAACACUGGGUGACUGUUGUGUUUGGAAUAAUUCUGUCCUCUGGGGGGUGGGAUGCCUUUUUCUUUGGCCACCAACAAGGAAUAAACACUGGGACAAAGACUUAAAUAAUCAUCAACAAGGACUUUUUAAACUGAAAAAAUACAUUAUCCCCAAAGGGGACAAAGACCAUCUGGUUCUUUAAGUUGAUGAGAACAUUGGAGCAGGCAGUUAAUGGCUUGUCUUCUCAGUAGUAAUUGUGAAUCAAGGAAUAGGUAAGAAAACGUAAGGGCCUUUUGUUCCCUGUAACCUAUAUGGGCUGCAUUCAGCCGCUCUCAGAAAAUAGUAAGAAAUGGUGCCUUGGAAAAUACAUCAGAUGACAGACAGAAACGUGCCUUUGUGUUUCCUCUGAGCUACUAACUGCUAGCAGCUUUCUCAGGUGGGGUGCCGAAGUGACAGUGAAAACAGAUGUGAAAUAGCGUGCCUGGUGAAGAGGCACAUGGAUGACCCGCUCUUCUGAGCUCACCCUCUCUGUUACAGUGGUUUUCUGGUGGUUUGUGUUUGGAAGCAAGGCCUCAUGCAGCCUAAAUGCACUAUGUAGCCGAGGACAACCCUGUCUCUGCCUCCCAAGAGCUAGUUCACGCAGGGCUGCAGAUGGAGCCCAGGGCUUCAUGUAUGCCAGGUCAGAUUCCAUGUGGAAGCUCAUUUGGCUGGACUCAGCUAUAUGUGUUUAUUCCAAAAGGUAGGGCAGAAGCCAAUGACCAAGUGAUUUCAGACCCAGAGGAAUGGAACUUAGGUGACUUCAAUUGUCACUCUGUGUAGCAAUACAAAGAUGUUUGUAGCCACUAGACUGUGUAGUGAACAGGGCUAGGUCUUGUCAUCCACAGGGUUAAGUAUUAAAGGUUUGGUAACCAGUCUAUAUGAGGUGGGACUGAG